rnacentral:rRNA from 1 species
GAUGAACGCUGACGGCGUGCCUAAUACAUGCAAGUCGAGCGAACGGACGAGAAGCUUGCUUCUCUGAUGUUAGCGGCGGACGGGUGAGUAACACGUGGAUAACCUACCUAUAAGACUGGGAUAACUUCGGGAAACCGGAGCUAAUACCGGAUAAUAUUUUGAACCGCAUGGUUCAAAAGUGAAAGACGGUCUUGCUGUCACUUAUAGAUGGAUCCGCGCUGCAUUAGCUAGUUGGUAAGGUAACGGCUUACCAAGGCAACGAUGCAUAGCCGACCUGAGAGGGUGAUCGGCCACACUGGAACUGAGACACGGUCCAGACUCCUACGGGAGGCAGCAGUAGGGAAUUUUCCGCAAUGGGCGAAAGCCUGACGGAGCAACGCCGCGUGAGUGAUGAAGGUCUUCGGAUCGUAAAACUCUGUUAUUAGGGAAGAACAUAUGUGUAAGUAACUGUGCACAUCUUGACGGUACCUAAUCAGAAAGCCACGGCUAACUACGUG